UACGUAGGGGGCUAGCGUUGUCCGGAAUCAUUGGGCGUAAAGAGCGUGUAGGCGGCCCGGUAAGUCCGCUGUGAAAGUCGGAGGCUCAACCUUCGAAAGCCGGUGGAUACUGCGUGACUAGAGUACGGAAGAGGAGAGUGGAAUUCCUGGUGUAGCGGUGAAAUGCGCAGAUAUCAGGAGGAACACCAACGGCGAAGGCAGCUCUCUGGGACGUUACUGACGCUGAGACGCGAAAGCGUGGGGAGCAAACAGG
rnacentral:rRNA from 1 species